rnacentral:rRNA from 1 species
AGUGAACGCUGGCGGUAGGCCUAACACAUGCAAGUCGAACGGCAGCACAGUAAGAGCUUGCUCUUACGGGUGGCGAGUGGCGGACGGGUGAGGAAUACAUCGGAAUCUACUUUUUCGUGGGGGAUAACGUAGGGAAACUUACGCUAAUACCGCAUACGACCUACGGGUGAAAGCAGGGGAUCUUCGGACCUUGCGCGAUUGAAUGAGCCGAUGUCGGAUUAGCUAGUUGGCGGGGUAAAGGCCCACCAAGGCGACGAUCCGUAGCUGGUCUGAGAGGAUGAUCAGCCACACUGGAACUGAGACACGGUCCAGACUCCUACGGGAGGCAGCAGUGGGGAAUAUUGGCGAAUGGGCGCAAGCCUGAUCCAGCCAUACCGCGUGGGUGAAGAAGGCCUUCGGGUUGUAAAGCCCUUUUGUUGGGAAAGAAAAGCAGCAGGUUAAUACCCCGCUGUUCUGACGGUACCCAAAGAAUAAGCACCGGCUAACUUCGUG